GACGAACGCUGGCGGCGUGCCUAAUACAUGCAAGUCGAGCGAAGUUUUCUGGUGCUUGCACUAGAAAAACUUAGCGGCGAACGGGUGAGUAACACGUAAAGAACCUGCCUCAUAGACUGGGACAACUAUUGGAAACGAUAGCUAAUACCGGAUAACAGCAUUAACUGCAUGGUUGAUGUUUAAAAGUUGGUUUUGCUAACACUAUGAGAUGGCUUUGCGGUGCAUUAGCUAGUUGGUGGGGGUAAAGGCCUACCAAGGCGACGAUGCAUAGCCGACCUGAGAGGGUGAUCGGCCACACUGGGACUGAGACACGGCCCAGACUCCUACGGGAGGCAGCAGUAGGGAAUCUUCCGCAAUGGGGCGAAAAGCUGACGGAGCAACGCCGCGUGAGUGAAGAAGGAUUUCGGUUCGUAAAGCUCUGUUGUUAGGGAAGAAUGAUUGUGUAGUAACUAUACACAGUAGAGAC
rnacentral:rRNA from 1 species